rnacentral:lncRNA from 1 species
CAUUUAGAUUCAACCGGCUGAAUUUUUGGAGAAAAAAAUUUAGAUUGAAGAAGACUGUUCCAGACUAAUCCUAAGUGGAUACUUGUAGAGAUCGGAUACUUGUACGACUAAGAAAAAAUCUCUUCUCUUUUAGAUCCAGAUUUGAAGAAAAAGAUUGUGAAACAAGUAUGUGAUUUGAUCACAAUCUGAAUUUCAGCAUAUAUCAAUUUCAGCAUAUGAGAUAGAUCCAUAUAGUUUUAUAUUUUCAUGCAUAUAUAAUUUAGAUUAAAAAUAUUUUAAUCUUAUUC